UUGUGAAUCUUGGACAAUGGGGGAAACCCUGAUCCAGCCAUGCCGCGUGCGUGAUGAAGGCCUUCGGGUUGUAAAACUCUUUCGCGCACGACGAUAAUGACGGUAGUGCGAGAAGAAGCUCCGGCUAACUUCGUGCCAGCAGCCGCGGUAAUACGAAGGGGGCUAGCGUUGUUCGGAAUUACUGGGCGUAAAGCGCGCGCAGGCGGUUCUCCAAGUCAGUGGUGAAAGCCCGGAGCUCAACUCCGGAACUGCCAUUGAAACUGUUGAACUUGAGGACGAGAGAGGUGAGUGGAAUGCCCAGUGUAGAGGUGAAAUUCGUAGAUAUUGGGAAGAACACCGGUGGAGAAGGCGGCUCAAUGGCUCGUAUCUGACGCUCAGGCGCGAUAGCGUGGGGAUCAAA
rnacentral:rRNA from 1 species